rnacentral:rRNA from 1 species
CCUACGGGAGGCAGCAGUAGGGAAUCUUCCGCAAUGGACGAAAGUCUGACGGGGCAACGCCGCGUGAACGAUGAAGGCCUUCGGGUCGUAAAGUUCUGUUGUUAGGGAAGAACAAGUGCUAGUUGAAUAAGCUGGCACCUUGACGGUACCUAACCAGAAAGCCACGGCUAACUACGUGCCAGCAGCCGCGGUAAUACGUAGGUGGCAAGCGUUGUCCGGAAUUAUUGGGCGUAAAGCGCGCGCAGGCGGUUUCUUAAGUCUGAUGUGAAAGCCCCCGGCUCAACCGGGGAGGGUCAUUGGAAACUGGGAAACUUGAGUGCAGAAGAGGAAAGUGGAAUUCCAAGUGUAGCGGUGAAAUGCGUAGAGAUUUGGAGGAACACCAGUGGCGAAGGCGACUUUCUGGUCUGUAACUGACGCUGAGGCGCGAAAGCGUGGGGAGCAAACAGGAUUAGAUACCCUGGUAGUCCACGCUGUAAACGAUGAGUGCUAAGUGUUAGAGGGUUUCCGCCCUUUAGUGCUGAAGUUAACGCAUUAAGCACUCCGCCUGGGGAGUACGGUCGCAAGACUGAAACUCAAAUGAAAUUGACGGCUGAGAGNGCGAGACGACACGAGGGAGAG